CAGGUUGUAGUGGUAUUAGUACAGACACAGAAGAGAGAAGAAGGCUAAAAAACUGCAGUUCAGAAGGAUGAAAAUCUGAUCCGAUAUUUUGUUGGGAAAGGGGUAAAAUUCAUAUGGAACUCUGAAGAAGACAAAUACCAGAAACUUAGAGGAUUAGAAGUUAACAAUACAUGUUCAUAUUUCCAUGAGGCGAAAGGUUUGAGCUGCGAACACCAAAGCAAAAGAUUACAGGUCCAGAGUAUGAUAGGGAUUUGCGAAAGAAUUCUAUGUGUGGUUUGGGGACAGCCAGGUUAGCAUUAUCUCUGGAUCUAAGUUCAAGCUCACAUGAAUUUUGCAGUGAAAUGUAUGAAGUUCAGUUGUAAUGGUAAUGAGAUGCAGAUGGUGAGGGAAACAGCGUAUGGCAUUUUUGGAAAACAUGUAAUAGCAGAAAAGUUGAUGCCAUUGCAAAACUAACCUGACUGUAUGCAGCCCAAAUAUCCAAAUAUUGAAUGCUGUUAACUCUCCCUUCUAGCUCUGUGGAUGCAGAGUUAGGAUUCUCAAGGAUGAAAAUUACAGAAAAUGACUGGAGGUCUUUGCUUAGUUCUAGCUCUCUGAGUGAUUUGAUGUUAAUCCACUCAGAGACUGAGUCUGUUGAGAAGUUUGAUCCAUUGGAUUCAAUAUUAUUAUGGAAUUCCUGUGGUAGUAGGGCCAGGAGACCAUUCUACAGUGAUAAAAAAAGUAAAGCCUGCCAAAUGCACCAAUCGCAGUCUCAGUAUAGACACAGAUGAUGUGUCUCUAAUUGCCGAAGAACUUGACGUGGCUAGGGAAGGUGUAUGUGAUGAUGAUGGUGACAGUGACGACAAUGCCGCUGAUGAUGAGGACUACAUGCACAGACAAGACCUCAUUGUUGUCAAAACAGAGCUUAUAGACUUAUGAUGGACCUUGUUGAAAAAUAAUUACUAAAAAUAUGUAAUAAUACUUGAGUAAAGUUGAAUAAUAUGACUGAAGUUUACUUAAAUUGCUCAACAGGCAGUAGAACCACCUGAAAUCUUGUCGUACCAGCAGAUUGCAAAAGCUGCUGUUCCUUUGGGCCACCACAUAAAAAAAGUCAGUGUCUAGCCCUGAAUGUGUCGACGACUGAGCUUAACCGGCUGAACAGAUCAUGGCACCAUUACCUAGUAUUUGAUGUAGUGUGCCAUUGAGAGCAUUUGUCCAUUUGGCAUUGGAUUAUGUGGGACCUUUCAUUACUGUCCAAGGUCGAGGAAAACAGCCUGAAAUAAGAUAUUUAUGUCUGUUCAUCUUGAAAUCUCAUUUGGAAUAGAUACUGAUGCAUUUCUAAAUUCAUCAAUUUGCUGGUCGUAGAGGUCUUCCAGGAACAGUUCUGUCGGAUAAUGGAACAAACUUUGUCGAUAGUGAAAAGGAACUGGGAUAAUUAGGAAACGGGCUGAAUCAUGAUCAAAUAAAAGAAAAGACAGCAAAUAAAGGAGUUCAGUGGCAUUUCAUUCCUCCAUUAGCGCCACACUUGGGAGGUGUACAUGAAAUCAUGGUGAAAAGUGCUUAAAGAGCCAUUAAUUCCAUGCUACAGAAUGCUUCAGUGUCAGAUGAGGAACUUAUGACUGCAUUUGUAGGAGCAGAAGCUCUUUAUCAAUUUGAGACCUCUUAUUUAUCAGUCAGCUAACCCUGCUGAUUGCAUACCUUUUACUCCAAAUUAUUUCCAACAUGGACAAAUAGGAGGAGAGUUCACUCCUGAGAGCCUUGAUACAAACGAUUUCAGCUCUUGAAAUGGUGUGAGUUCAAGAGUUAGUCCGAAACUUUUGGGGUUGUUGGAUUCGUGAGUGGUUGCCAAACCUAUGUACCUCCAAGAAAUGGAACAGAGUUUGACCAGAUCUGAAAGUUGGAGAUGUCAUUAUCAUGGUAUAGCCUUGCGCGCCUCGAGCACAUUGGCCUUUAGGUUGUGUUACACACGUUCAUACAAGUCGCGAUGAUCAUGUGAGAGCAGUAAACAUUUUAGUAAAUGGUAAAGAAUUCACACAGCCCAUUACAAAGUUAUGCCCAUUAGAAAUUAACAGCAGUGAUUAACAGUAAUGUGUUAUGCAGAAAUAUUGCAUUUUAUAUGACAAAAAGUAUAAAUAUUCUCGCAUGUGGAGGGCAUAAUAAUCCCUCGAAAUGAUUUCGUGUGUGGAGGGCAUAAUAAUCCCUCAAAAUGAUUCCACGUGAGGAGGGCAUAAUAAUCCCUCAAAAAUAAUUCCGCGUGUGGAGGGCAUAAUAAUCCCUCUAAAAUAAUUUCGCGUGCUGAGGGCAUAAUAAUCCCUCAAAAUGAUUGUGUGUGGAGGCAUAAUAAUCCCUCAAAAUGAUUACGUGUGUGGAGGGCAUAAUAAUCCCUCAAAAAUAAUUCCUUAUGUGGAGGGCAUAAUAAUCCCUUAAAAAUGAUUUCGCGUGAGGAGGGCAUAAUAAUCCCACAUUAUAUUUUAAGAUAAAGAAAUAUCUGAAAUGUUAUAUUAUAAUCUUGGAGAAAGAGAAAGACAUUUUUUUCUUUCAGGAAAAAAGAAGAUGCACUGUAUAAAAAGAUGAAGAAGAUUGUAUUAUCAUUACUAUGUAUUGUAAUUUUUGACAUGUAUAUAUUUUAAGACAUACAGAGUAACUUCGGAUAUAUUCGACACCUUAAGCAUAAAAACGGCGAAACAUUUUUCUGUUCAGAAUGACCAAUAUAAACAUUUAAUGAAAACGAAAGUAGACCUUUUCUACGUCAUCAGUAUAAAACGUCGCCCAUUGAUCGCAUCCACAUCGUUAGUAAGAUGGAUUUUAAUCUAAUUGUUAUCGUCGUGUAAUUUAGACAUCUUUCGGCCAAAUUCGACACCCUGGUGGAGUUUUAAAAAAUAUUCAAGAUGAACAUUAAUCAUUUUCUGUAUGACUACAUAAAUCUUUCAAAACAGCAAUGUCGCAGUACACAUUACGGAUGGUUUUUAUGCAGACAAGUUUACCAGCUCUAAGAUUUCGGAUAUCAUAAGUCAAGCUGUAAAAGUUAAAACAAAAAUCAAUCUUAAUUUUUCAGAUUAUGUAAACGCUGACUGAUUUUCCGGGAAACAAUUUAACAAUUAUACUGAUGUUUAUUUAUUUAUUUAUCUGUUUAUUCAUUUAUUUAUUUAAGUCAUGUGCAGUACGUGUUGUAAGUGGUGUAUGGAAAGUAGAGUUCAUUUUGAGUAAGAGUCUUUUUAUGGCAUACAAAAUUCGCAGAUAUAUGGAUAAUUCGCCACUUGCUCUAUAGGAAUUUCACACAAAAUGGCAUCUCUGGUAUAAGAAAUGUGCCAUUGUGUUGGGCAAGAUGUACAGCUGACCCACUCGUCAUCACGCCUGCUUCUUAUCGAAGUCGUCGUUGGUGUCUUUGAAUGAUGGCUCCUCAAAGGAAUCGGAGGAUGAAAAUGAAUCCACCCUUCUUUUUUUAGUUUUCUUGUUCAACUCUUGAACUAAUGUUUCAGCUUCUCUCUUUUGUUUCAACUCAUCUUUCUCCUUUCGUUUUUUUCUUUCUCUUCUAG
rnacentral:lncRNA from 1 species